GGGUCGGUGGCGUAGUCGGUUAUCGCAUCUGUCUAACAUGUCGUGUGACGUGCACAGAAGGUCCUCAGUUCGAACCUGGGCCGACUCA